rnacentral:rRNA from 1 species
GAAAGUAAGAAAGGGCGUAUGGCGGAUGCCUAGGCUCACGGAGGCGAUGAAGGACGUGAUAAGCUGCGAUAAGCUUCGGGUAGGUGCAAAUAACCCUUGAUCCGGAGAUUUCCGAAUGGGACAACCUAGCCGUCUGAAGGACGGUUACUCAAUCUUCAAGGUUGAGAGCUAACGCAGGGAACUGAAACAUCUUAGUACCUGUAGGAAGAGAAAAUAAAUGAAUGAUUCCCCCAGUAGUGGCGAGCGAACGGGGAACAGCCCAAACCGUUGACGUCGCAAGGCGCCAGCGGGGUUGUAGGACCGCGACAUUGUAUGCAAAUCGUGAACAGAACACUUUGGAAAAUGUGACCAUAGACGGUGAUAGUCCAGUAUGUGAAGCGAAAUGCAGCAUAGCGGUAUCCUGAGUAACGCGGGACACGAGGAAUCCUGCGCGAAUCUGCCGGGACCAUCCGGUAAGGCUAAAUACUCCCGUGAGACCGAUAGCGAACGAGUACUGUGAAGGAAAGGUGAAAAGAACCCCGAGCAGGGGAGUGAAAUAGUUCCUGAAACCAUACGCCUACAAGCGGUCGGAGCAUCUUACGAUGUGACGGCGUGCCUUUUGCAUAAUGAUCCUACGAGUUACCGUCACUGGCGAGGUUGAGUGUCACGAGACACGUAGCCGCAGUGAAAGCGAGCCUGAAUAGGGCGCAUAGUCAGUGGGGGUAGACGCGAAACCAAGUGAUCUACACUUGGCCAGGAUGAAGUCCCGGUAACACGGGAUGGAGGUCCGCACCAAUAAGCGUUGAAAAGCUUCUGGAUGAGCCGAGUGUAGGAGUGAAAGGCCAAUCAAACUUGGAGAUAGCUCGUACUCCCCGAAAGGCAUUUAGGUGCCGCGUCGGAUGGUCACCGUGAGAGGUAGAGCGACCGAUAGGACAAGAGGGCUUCACCGCCUAUCGAGUCCUGACGAACUCCGAAUGCUCACGGUCUGCAGUCCGGCAGUAAGGGGGCGGGUGCUAAGGUCCGUCCCCGAGAGGAGAAGAAUCCAGACCGCCGUCUAAGGUCCCGGAGUUCUGCCUGAGUUAGUCUAACGAAGUCUGGUCCCUAUGACAGCUAGGAUGUUGGCUUGGAAGCAGCCAUUCAUUCAAAGAGUGCGUAACAGCUCACUAGUCGAGGGUCCGGGCAUGGAUAAUAAUCGGGUAUAAGGCAGACACCGAAGGCGCGGGAUAGCAUUUAAGAAAGUAUCGGUAGGGGAGCAUACUCACAGCGUGGAAUGGUGUACGUAAGUUAUCCUGGAGCGGUGAGUAAAGCAAAUGUAGGAAUAAGUAACGAUAAGGAGGGUUAGAUUCCCUCCCGCUGUAAGACCAAGGUUUCCCGGGCAAUGCCAAUCAGCCCGGGGUCAGUCGGGUCCUAAGUCUAAGCCGAACGGCGAUGGCGAUGGCAGAGACGGUUAAUAUUCCGUCACUGCCGCAUGGGGCGACGUGGAGACGGAGCAGUGAAACCACCGCGGGGCGACGGAAGUCCCCGUUGAAGAGUGUAGGUGUUGAGGAUGGCAGGCAAAUCCACCGUCCGAGCUGAACUUGAUAGUAUGGAGUCUUCUUCGGAAGAAUCCAAUAGUGUGGGUAAUCAUACUCCCGAGAAAAUCCGCUAAGCUUAACCCAUGCGGCACCCGUACCGCAAACGGACACACGUGGUCGGGUAGAACAUACUAAGGCGUUGAGAGAUUCAUGGUUAAGGAACUAGGCAAAUUGACCCUGUAACUUCGGGAUAAAGGGUCCUCGUGAUGAGCGAGGCGCAGAGAAUAGGUCCAGGCAACUGUUUAACAAAAACACAGGGCUGUGCAAACUCGAAAGAUGACGUAUACAGCCUGACACCUGCCCGGUGCCGGAAGGUUAAGAGGAGAUGUCACUCGCAAGAGGAAGCAUUGAAUUGAAGCCCCGGUAAACGGCGGCCGUAACUAUAACGGUCCUAAGGUAGCGAAAUUCCUUGUCGGGU